rnacentral:rRNA from 1 species
GACGAACGCUGGCGGCGCGCUUAACACAUGCAAGUCGUGCGGUGUCGAAGGCAAGUCUUACGACAAGCCUUCGACACAGCGGCGAACGGGUGAGUAACACGUGAGUAGCUGUCCUAAGGAGGGGGAUAACGCCUGGAAACGGGUGCUAACACCCCAUAUGCCUCGCAAGAGGUGAAAGUGUACUUGCUACAGCCUUAGGGUGUGCUCGCGGCCUAUCAGCUAGUUGGUGAGGUAACGGCUCACCAAGGCUAAGACGGGUAGCCGGCCUGAGAGGGUGUACGGCCACACUGGAAUUGAGAUACGGUCCAGACUCCUACGGGAGGCAGCAGUGGGGAAUCUUGGGCAAUGGGCGAAAGCCUGACCCAGCGACGCCGCGUUGGGGAUGAAGCCUUCGGGGCGUAAACCCAUGUGUAGGGACGAAGAAAGUGAACGGUACCCUACGAGAAAGCCCCGGCCAACUACGUGCCAGCAGCCGCGGUAAAGCUAACGUAGA